UAACCGUUUCGAACCAAAGCAAGCACACCCAUAGUUUAUACUUCGUAUCCAGUUUCAUUUAUAACAAAUGAAGCUAAAAACAUGCCCAAAUAGCAUACAAUGACAACACAGGAGUGUCUUUUUGCAUUGAAUAAUCAUUGCUUAUUGAUAGCUUGAUACAAUGGUAUUAUAGUUUUUUAAAAUGGGCAAUUUAAAGAAAUAGGCAUUUUUAGCCCAGAUUAAAUAUAAACGAAACUGGAUAUAUACUUGAGGGGUUCACAAGGUCAAACAACAAAAGUUAAACAAAUAAAAGAAGUUAAUAGCCAAAAUGGUCACUGAGGUGUAACCAGCCUUCUAAGCUCCUCUUCCAAUGGAAUACGGAAAUUUCGCUUCAUAACCCAUUGACC
rnacentral:lncRNA from 1 species